rnacentral:rRNA from 1 species
GAGUUUUGAUCAUGGCUCAGAUUGAACGCUGGCGGCAUGCUUUACACAUGCAAGUCGAACGGCAGCACAGGGAGCUUGCUCCCGGGUGGCGAGUGGCGCACGGGUGAGUAAUACAUCGGAACGUGUCCUGUUGUGGGGGAUAACUGCUCGAAAGGGUGGCUAAUACCGCAUGAGACCUGAGGGUGAAANCGGGGGAUCGCAAGACCUCGCGCAAUUGGAGCGGCCGAUGCCCGAUUAGCUAGUUGGUGAGGUAAAGGCUCACCAAGGCGACGACCGGUAGCUGGUCUGAGAGGACGACCAGCCACACUGGGACUGAGACACGGCCCAGACUCCUACGGGAGGCAGCA